UUUCGUAAUUCGUUAAAUAUUAUAAAUCCAUUAGCAAAUAAAGUUGUAUCCUUGAAAGAUAUGCUGGUAUUAUUGGCACAAUGGGCAAGCAUUAAAGUGCAACUUGGUGAACUACAAAACACAUCAAAUUCAGUUAUAAAAAUUUGAGUAACAAAGAUAUGCUAAUUAUUGUAUUGCCUGAAAGAGUGUCAUUGCCAUUAAAAGCAGUAAAGAAUUCAAGUACUCUCGAAAAAAAAGACAAGAAAAUACUUAAGAAAAUGGUUGUGUAUUUUUGCAGGUCAAUUAUUUGUCAC